AGAUCCCUUAAAGAUGAUGAGGUUGAUAGGUCCGGUGUGGAAGUACCGUAAGGUAUGGAGCUAACGGAUACUAAUGGAUCGAGGGCUUAACCUAA
rnacentral:rRNA from 1 species